CCUACGGGUGGCAGCAGUGAGGAAUAUUGGUCAAUGGACGCAAGUCUGAACCAGCCAUGCCGCGUGCAGGAAGACGGCUCUAUGAGUUGUAAACUGCUUUUGUACGAGGGUAAACGCAGAUACGCGUAUCUGUCUGAAAGUAUCCUACGAAUAAGGAUCGGCUAACUCCGUGCCAGCAGCCGCGGUAAUACGGAGGAUUCAAGCGUUAUCCGGAUUUAUUGGGUUUAAAGGGUGGGUAGGCGGGCGGAUAAGUUAGAGGUGAAAUCCCGAGGCUCAACUUCGGAAUUGCCUUUGAUACUGUUCGGCGAGAGAGUAGUUGCGGUAGGCGGAAUGUAUGGUGUAGCGGUGAAAUGCUUAGAGAUCAUACAGAACACCGAUUGCGAAGGCAGCUUACCAAGCUACUUCUGACGUUGAGGCACGAAAGCGUGGGGAGCAAACAGGAUUAGAUACCCGAGUAGUC
rnacentral:rRNA from 1 species